rnacentral:rRNA from 1 species
GUGAACGCUGGCGGUAGGCCUAACACCUGCAAGUCGAACGGCAGCACAGUAAGAGCUUGCUCUUACGGGUGGCGAGUGGCGGACGGGUGAGGAAUACAUCGGAAUCUACUUUUUCGUGGGGGAUAACGUAGGGAAACUUACGCUAAUACCGCAUACGACCUACGGGUGAAAGCAGGGGAUCGUCGGACCUUGCGCGAUUGAAUGAGCCGGUGUCGGAUUAGCUAGUUGGCGGGGUAAAGGCCCACCAAGGCGACGAUCCGUAGCUGGUCUGAGAGGAUGAGCAGCCACACUGGAACUGAGACACGGUCCAGACUCCUACGGGAGGCAGCAGUGGGGAAUAUUGGACAAUGGGCGCAAGCCUGAUCCAGCCAUACCGCGUGGGUGAAGAAGGCCUUCGGGUUGUAAAGCCCUUUUGUUGGGAAAGAAAAGCAGCAGGUUAAUACCCCGCUGUUCUGACGGUACCCAAAGAAUAAGCACCGGCUAACUUCGUG